UGUUGGGGGAUUUUCCAGGGUGGGGUGGG
rnacentral:piRNA from 1 species